UGUAGUUGUGAUUAAGUUUGUAAAUUUCAGAUUCGCCCUAUUCACCCCCCUCUAGGCGACUUUCAGAUAACAUAGCACGAUAUAUUGUUGGCAAAUCUUGCGAAGUUAUCUUACGAUCUACAAAUGCAGCGACACCAAUUCCUCCAGAUUUAGCUCAGAUUGUUUCACUCAAAUUCACCUUUAGAGUAAUACCAGAUGACAGUUUUUUCGAUAACCAAGAUCAGGUCCCCAUUGCCCUUCGCAUCAUCUCUAUAACUGCAGCGCAUGGUAGACAACAUGCACUACCAUUGAAGCCAACCAAUAUCAUAGAAGGUACAUCAACACCACAAAACAAGUUACAACUGCAGUUAAUCGAGAACUCACCAUCAAAUCCUUUUCAAAAUUUAUCCACAAGUACUCCACCACCCAUACAGGCUGCAAGGAAGCUAAUAUAUCCACCGCUCAGUAACCCCCUCACAUAUCAACAUACUCCCAAGUCUGAUGGCGAAGAAGAAAUUACAGAGCAAACAAUGGACACCAGUCAAAUCAAAGGAAAAAAAAGUAUGCCCUCAUUCGAAUCUCCUCCAAAAAGGUUCAAGAAAGGAAGCUUACAUAUCCAAAGCAAUGAUGACGAUGUGCAGGAGAAAUAAACACAGAUGUUUAGAGCGCCAAAUUUUCUUGCUUUUGACACAUGUCUUCUACAAACUUUGGUGUAAUCCGAUCUAAAACGUAUUUGCCUGACAAAGUACCUACGAACUU